rnacentral:sRNA from 1 species
UCGUGCAUGGGAAAUACUUACACCAAAAAGCUACUCAUGGUUUCUCUGGGAUUCCAACAUCACUGGGCAUCCUGGAUGUGCCUUUGCUGAUUCUGGACACCCCAAGUUGGGAGGCUCAGAGCUGGAAAGCUGAGGGCAGAGCUGCCGGCUAAGAAAGGGGACAGAGGUCCUCCACCUACCCGCCUCUGCAGCCAAGUGUCUACCUGGCCAGGUGCCUGGCCCCACCUGGUGGCCCUGUGGCCUGGGGGUGUCCAGGUGGUCCCGGGUGUGAGUCCACAUGGUUCUGCCUGACCUGUCUGUGCAGCUGGCCCUGGGUGUGGCCUCGGGUGACACCCAGAUCUCUCUCUCUCCAGGGCCCCAAAGGUGAGAGCGUGGGCUCCAUCACACAGCCCCUGCCCAGCAGCUACCUGAUCUUCAGGGCCGCCUCCGAGUCAGAUGGUCGCUGCUGGCUAGAUGCCCUGGAGCUGGCCCUGCGCUGUUCUAGCCUGCUGAGACUGGGCUCCUGCAAGCCAGGCCGAGACGGGGAGCCAGGGACCUCGCCAGACGCAUCACCCUCAUUGCUCUGCGGGCUGCCAGCCUCAGCCACCAUCCACC